CCACAACGAGGUGCCCCUCCUGGUGAGAACCCCAUUACAGUGCAUUGCAAAAAUAACAUUUUCUCCUUCGUGUGUAGAUGAUCAGUCAGAUGGGAAAUGCCAGAGUCCACAUCAACUGUCAAGGUGUUGGAACUUGAUUACCCAAGUAUCCCUUUGAUAAUGGUGAAAUGUGGCCCCCUGGUAUGUCCGGAUUACAUAAAACCUUGGAUGCAGCUGUUCUUUAAUGAUGCUCCAUUGGCCCCAGGCAGAUCUACAUAGGCUCGCAUCUCUGUUUCUAAAGUCUUCUUUGGUUUCAUGGGAAUGAGCCACUUCUCUGGAAAGUGCAUCUGCAGUGAACACGAAUUUACCAGGUGUGACGGGGACGUGCCAGCACCCUGCAUGCCAACCGCGCCGUCGCUGGCGUUCUGGGGAGAAGCGGCUGCGUCGCUCUGGCUUUGCGGCACCUGCUCUGCGGCUGCCAGCAAAUAUGAUGGGGACACUCCGACACCCCACCUGCCAGUUGCACCAUCCCUGGCAUUCAGGGGAAAAGUGGUGGUGGUGCGCUGGCCUGGUGCUGGACAUGCAAGCUCCAUGGUGACUGGGGACGUCGGCCUGUGCUCAUGCGCCGAAGAGCAGGAAGGGGGAGGGGACAAGACCUGCGGCACGGCUCUCCCCAUGUCAGAUGCAGCCCCGGCGGGAUGCUUAAAAGCAC